CUCGCCUCCUUGUGCGCAGCCGCGCCGGCGCUCCGGACACGUCACCACCUUCGCGUCCUUUCUGGAGAGCGCGGGAAGGAAGGCGCUGCGGGCGGUGACGUCACCGGGGUUCCCCCGCGAAGCUCGUGCGGGCGGGGCUGGGGACGUGGCGCCCGCGAUCUCGGAGCUGAGGGGAGGAGACAAAGACAAUGAUCAGCAGCAGAGUGGCAGAGAGGUUGGAUGGCCUUGCAGGAAGAUGACACCAGCAGAGGAGAGAGGAAAACAUAGAGCUCUCCAGGUUUUUCUGGAAAAGGAGAGUAAAGGGCAAGCAGAGGACUGUUGACCAUCAACUUCAGAAAGGCUUCCCAGCUCAACUGCUCUGGGGUUUCCCAAGUCAGGGAAAAAGUGCUGGCUGUCCAGAAAUGAAACGGUCCUGCUAAGAGCAGCAGGAAGUUGGAAACCACCAAGGGCUGCAUAAAAAGGGACAUAGGGCACCCUAAGAUGUGUGUCUAAACAAAACAAAAGAUUGCUCUAAUUUUGCUUUCAAAUGUUUGUAUGAAACAACAAGCAAAUUAGUAUAUACCUCCCCUUUGAAUUUGGGAGUCUUUAAUUUGGGAGUGAUUGUACAAGGGAAAGUUGUGUAUGCAGGGGCAAGUUAUGUGAUCACAGAUAACAAAUGUAUUAUUUCAAAAACAGCUAUGGGA
rnacentral:lncRNA from 1 species